GGGUGGAUCGCUGAUCGCAUGGUCUUCUGGGAAGCUUUCGCGGUAUGGGAUGGGGUCGCGUCCUAUCAGCUUGACGGCGGGGUAACGGCCCACCGUGGCUUCGACGGGUAGCCGGCCUGAGAGGGCGACCGGCCACAUUGGGACUGAGAUACGGCCCAGACUCCUACGGGAGGCAGCAGUGGGGAAUAUUGCACAAUGGGCGCAAGCCUGAUGCAGCGACGCCGCGUGAGGGAUGGAGGCCUUCGGGUUGUAAACCUCUUUUAUCGGGGAGCAAGCGAGAGUGAGUUUACCCGUUGAAUAAGCACCGGCUAACUACGUGCCAGCAGCCGCGGUAAUACGUAGGGUGCAAGCGUUAUCCGGAAUUAUUGGGCGUAAAGGGCUCGUAGGCGGUUCGUCGCGUCCGGUGUGAAAGUCCAUCGCUUAACGGUGGAUCCGCGCCGGGUACGGGCGGGCUUGAGUGCGGUAGGGGAGACUGGAAUUCCCGGUGUAACGGUGGAAUGUGUAGAUAUCGGAAAGAACACCA
rnacentral:rRNA from 1 species